CACGGAGGGAGCAAGCGUUGUUCGGAAUCACUGGGCGUAAAGGGCGUGUAGGCGGUCAGGUAAGUGGGAUGUGAAAUGCCCCGGCUCACCCGGGGACCGGCAUCCCAUACUGCUUGGCUUGAGUACGGGAGAGGAUGUGGGAAUUCCUGGUGUAGCGGUGAAAUGCGUAGAUAUCAGGAGGAACACCGGUGGCGAAGGCGCACAUCUGGCCCGAUACUGACGCUGAGGCGCGAAAGCUAGGGGAGCAAACGGG
rnacentral:rRNA from 1 species